rnacentral:rRNA from 1 species
AACGAACGCUGGCGGCGCGCUUAACACAUGCAAGUCGAACGAGAAGGCGUAGCAAUACGCUUGUACAGUGGCGAACGGGUGAGUAACACGUGGGUGACCUACCCUCGAGUGGGGAAUAACCCGCCGAAAGGCGGGCUAAUGCCGCGUACGCUUCCAGGUUUGCGGAUCUGGAAGGAAAGCCAUGCUGUGGGCAUGGCGCUCAAGGAUGGGCUCACGUCCUAUCAGCUUGUUGGUAGGGUAACGGCCUACCAAGGCAACGACGGGUAGCUGGUCUGAGAGGACGAUCAGCCACACUGGGACUGCGACACGGGCCAGACGCCUACGGGAGGCAGCAGUGAGGAAUAUUGCGCAAUGGGCGAAAGCCUGACGCAGCGACGCCGCGUGGGGGAUGAAGGUCUUCGGAUUGUAAACCCCUUUCGGGAGGGAAGAUGGGACGGGCAACCGUUCGGACGGUACCUCCAGAAGCAGCCACGGCUAACUUCGUGCCAGCAGCCGCGGUAA